rnacentral:rRNA from 1 species
UACGAAGGGGGCUAGCGUUGCUCGGAAUCACUGGGCUUAAAGGGCGCGUAGGCGGCUUGCCAAGUCCGGGGUGAAAGCCUCCAGCUUAACUGGAGAAGUGCCUUGGAUACUGGCGAGCUCGAGCGAGGCAGGGGUGAUGGGAACUUCCGGUGGAGCGGUGAAAUGCGUUGAUAUCGGAAGGAACGCCGGUGGCGAAAGCGCAUCACUGGUCCUCUUCUGACGCUGAGGCGCGAAAGCCAGGGGAGCAAACGGG